rnacentral:rRNA from 1 species
GUGCCAGCCGCCGCGGUAAUACGUAGGGGGCAAGCGUUAUCCGGAAUUAUUGGGCGUAAAGCGCGCGCAGGCGGCCGGUUAAGUCAGGUGUGAAAGGCUGCGGCUCAACCGCAGAGCUGCAUCUGAAACUGGUCGGCUUGAGUGCAGGAGAGGGGAGCGGAAUUCCCGGUGUAGCGGUGGAAUGCGUAGAGAUCGGGAGGAACACCAGUGGCGAAGGCGGCUCUCUGGCCUGUAGCUGACGCUGAGGCGCGAAAGCGUGGGGAGCGAACAGGAUUAGAUACCCUGGUAGUCCACGCCGUAAACGAUGAGUGCUAGGUGUUUGGGGGGGCUACGCCCCUCAGUGCCGAAGGCAACCCAUUAAGCACUCCGCCUGGGGAGUACGGCCGCAAGGCUGAAACUCAAAGGAAUUGACGGGGGCCCGCACAAGCGGUGGAGCAUGUGGUUUAAUUCGAAGCAACGCGAAGAACCUUACCAGGGCUUGACAUCCCGCUGACCCCUUCAGAGAUGAAGGUUUCCUUCGGGACAGCGGUGACAGGUGGUGCAUGGUUGUCGUCAGCUCGUGUCGUGAGAUGUUGGGUUCAGUCCCGCAACGAGCGCAACCCUUGUCGUUAGUUGCCAGCAUUUCGGAUGGGCACUCUAACGAGACAGCCGGUGAAAGCCGGAGGAAGGUGGGGAUGACGUCAAAUCAUCAUGCCCCUUAUGUCCUGGGCUACACACGUGCUACAAUGGCUGGUACAAAGGGCUGCGAACCCGCGAGGGGGAGCCAAUCCCAAAAAGCCAGUCUCAAUUC